rnacentral:sRNA from 1 species
AGUGCCCGGCCAGUCACAGGCAAACCAUCUACAUUCUACACACAUAUCUCACUCAUCCUGUCAUCCACCCAUCAACGUACGUACGUGUGAUCUGCUUAAUUGGGAGUUAGAAGAAGAGGCCGAGGUAAGUUGAAUUUGCUGCAGAGAGAGAGAGAGAGAGAAUCAAUGGCGCUUAUCCCGUCGCUGGCCGCCGCCCGCUACGCGCUGCUCGCGUUGCCGCCUCUCAUGGUGGCCGCGUAUGUUUAUAACGGCGGGGGUCGGGGAAAUGGAGAUAGACCGCGUGCAAGAAGCAUCAACAAAUUCACCGAUGGCGGUCCAGCUACCGCCGGCCCUGCAGCCCGGAAAGACAGCAGUGCCUUGUGAUCGAUCAACUGUAAGCCCUUCACACAUGUACUUCCUCCAUCUCAUAAUGUAAAUCAUUUUAGCAUUGCGCAUAUUUAUAUAUCUAGAUUUAUUAACAUCCAUAUGAAUACGGACAAUGCUAGAAUGACUUAUAUUAUGAAACGGAGGGAGUACGUAAUUUACCGAUGAUUGCUGUAUCCAACUAAGCUUUGCGGAUUUAUGUACGCACAUGCAACUACUAUUAAGCUUUAUGUCGUUGGUUUUCUCUACCGCGGUGCAUGUGUACCGCGAGAUAUGUAAAUUUAUUUCCAGUGCCUUUUUCUGAUGUAAUGAAAGUACUACGUACGUACGUCUCG